rnacentral:misc_RNA from 1 species
UACGUAGGGUCCAAGCGUUGUCCGGAUUUACUGGGUGUAAAGGGUCCGCAGGCGGAUCUGUGCGUCGGAAGUUAAAGGCCGCGGCCCAACCGCGGAAAUGCUUUCGAUACGGCAGAUCUUGAAUAUGAGAGAGGGCGGUGGAAUUCCAGGUGUAGCAGUGAAAUGCGUAGAUAUCUGGAGGAACACCAGUUGCGAAGGCGGCCGCCUGGCUCAUUAUUGACGCUCAUGGACGAAAGCGUGGGGAGCGAACAGG